CCUACGGGAGGCAGCAGUGAGGAAUAUUGGUCAAUGGACGAGAGUCUGAACCAGCCAAGUAGCGUGAAGGAUGACUGCCCUAUGGGUUGUAAACUUCUUUUAUAAAGGAAUAAAACGAGGCACGGGUGCCUUUUUGCAUGUACUUUAUGAAUAAGGAUCGGCUAACUCCGGGCCAGCAGCCGCGGUAAUACGGAGGAUCCGAGCGUUAUCCGGAUUUAUGGGGUUGAAAGGGAGCGUAGAUGGGUUGUUAAGUCAGUUGUGAAAGUUUGCGGCUCAACCGUAAAAUUGCAAUUGAUACUGGCAGUCUUGAGUACAGUUGAGGUAGGCGGAAUUCGUGGUGUAGCGGUGAAAUGCUUAGAUAUCACGAAGAACUCCGAUUGCGAAGGCAGCUUACUAAACUGCCACUGACAUUGAUGCUCGAAAGUGUGGGUAUCAAACAGGAUUAGAUACCCGUGUAGUC
rnacentral:rRNA from 1 species